UUGAAACAUUUGGAGAGGGAGACACUGCAUGAGAGCGGGUGUAAGGAAUCAAAGCAAGAGUGUGACUGUCCUCUGACGUGUUCCAUCCUGAGAAAAACACACACACAAAAAUGAAUGGAAACUGGAAUUAUGAGAUUAUUCAAGACACAAGAUUCCAGCAAAACGAAAUCCUGACAUUCACAAACACACAAAAGAAAUGCCUGAAGCGUCCCUUCUCAUCAUCACAGCAAGAGUGAAAGUCGUGACAUUAGCCAAGUAUGGUAACCCAUAUUCGGAAUUGGUGCUCAACCCAUCCAAGUGCACACACACAGCAGUGAG